rnacentral:rRNA from 1 species
CGUACCCUUCGGUUCGGAAUAACUCAGGGAAACUUGAGCUAAUACCGGAUACGCCCUUUUGGGGAAAGGUUUACUGCCGAAGGAUCGGCCCGCGUCUGAUUAGCUUGUUGGUGGGGUAACGGCCUACCAAGGCGACGAUCAGUAGCUGGUCUGAGAGGAUGAUCAGCCACACUGGGACUGAGACACGGCCCAGACUCCUACGGGAGGCAGCAGUGGGGAAUAUUGGACAAUGGGCGCAAGCCUGAUCCAGCCAUGCCGCGUGAGUGAUGAAGGCCUUAGGGUUGUAAAGCUCUUUUGUCCGGGACGAUAAUGACGGUACCGGAAGAAUAAGCCCCGGCUAACUUCGUGCCAGCAGCCGCGGUAAUACGAAGGGGGCUAGCGUUGCUCGGAAUCACUGGGCGUAAAGGGCGCGUAGGCGGCCGAUUAAGUCGGGGGUGAAAGCCUGUGGCUCAACCACAGAAUUGCCUUCGAUACUGGUUGGCUUGAGACCGGAAGAGGACAGCGGAACUGCGAGU